rnacentral:rRNA from 1 species
GUGUCAGCCGCCGCGGUAAUACGUAGGGUGCAAGCGUUAUCCGGAAUUAUUGGGCGUAAAGAGCUCGUAGGCGGUUUGUCACGUCUGCUGUGAAAACUGGAGGCUCAACCUCCAGCCUGCAGUGGGUACGGGCAGACUAGAGUGCGGUAGGGGAGAUUGGAAUUCCUGGUGUAGCGGUGGAAUGCGCAGAUAUCAGGAGGAACACCGAUGGCGAAGGCAGAUCUCUGGGCCGUAACUGACGCUGAGGAGCGAAAGCAUGGGGAGCGAACAGGAUUAGAUACCCUGGUAGUCC